UGCCUCUCAGGGUCGCACCUGGAGAGUUCCAGUACUCUACCAGCCUUGGUUACGGGAGAGAGAGUCAAGCAGAGGCAUACCCAUUCCAUUCCUACCUUGGCCAGUGGCUAGCAAGUGGAAGGCAAUCUGCUACAAGU